GAUACACACAGAAAAUGUUUCUCUAAAAAACGCACACAUACACACAAAACAGGAGGUCUCUUAAGGAGUCUACUGCUGAGAAGGUAAAAGCAUUUUGCUCAUUUUUAAUUUGCUAAAACAAUCCAAGCAUGCUUGGUACCCAGAGGGUAUUCUCAAAUAAACUUGUAUCUCUAGCUGCCAGCUUAGUUGAUUGAAAACAGAAGGCAAACGUGUCUUAAAGAAUAUGUUAAACUGUUAUGUCUCCCAGUACCACCCAGGAUACACACACAGACACACGCACACACAACGCAUAGUCAAGGAUUUGCUUGAAAGCAGCCAGUUCUAUUAUCUAAAAGGUAAUACAUUUGUACCAAAUUACUCCUGCCUACUGCGGUGCACCUUUUAGCGACGAAGCCAGUGCCACUGGGAUCCUGGACAGUUCUCGCGUGCCAUUCUCCACGUACAAAGCCAACGGCCCCAUUUGCAACUUUGCUAACUUAGUUGGCUUCCGCCCAGCCGAACCCCGAAGCAGUCACUGAAAACGUUCUGACACCAGAAAAUCAUUUCCACGACAGUGCAAGUGUUCGAAAGCACAAAGGCAGACACUGUCUACCCGCGACAGUUCGCAAGUUGCGGUGGCGGGGAGGCUGUGCGGAGCGCGCGUGCAGACAAGGAAAACAGGCAGCUCGUCCAGUGUCAGAAGCCAGCCAUUGAAAGGGGAUCUGCCACAGGAGGCAAGACAAGAAGAAAGCGGCAGCUUGGUGAACCUUUGGGGGAAAAGGAAAAUUCAAAACCAAAUGAAGAACUUUUUCUGGUUGUUGCUGUCGAAACCUCCCUGAUGAUUUCCGCGGAAGUUCUCUGGAGCAGACAAUUUCACAAACAUCUGAAUCAAGCGGGCUCUGUCAGAGUCACCAGAGUGUGAAAAUUCUGCUGUUUAGUUCUGUGCAAGGAGAUUGGAGGGUAGAAUAACAUGGAAAGCAGCUUUUAUUCACUCCAAGGACAACUAACUCACAUACAACGAAGGGCAGAAGUUUUCACCUGGCAAAACGUUCAUGAUUUAAAUGUCAAAAGAGGCAGACUCCAAAUAAAAUGCUGAACAAACAAUUUUGAGGACUUAGACCUUUCUUUUCUGCCAUUACUACUUCUCAAGCUGCUUCUGAUUCCCAGAGAAUGGGAUGGAAAAAUGAGAUGCUGCAGUUUCACUCCGGUAGGAUUCAGUCUCAAACUGCAGAGGUACUUGCACAUUUGAAGCUGGACCAGUCACUUUUCAAGUGCUCAAGACCCAUACGUGGCUAUACAGGAUGGUAUAGACAUUUUGACUUUAGUCCUCAAAUAAGCAAGAGGAAGACAUAAACCUGAAUCUAGAAUGAAGGAAAAACAUCUCAUAGUUAUAUUCAAGCUGAUUACAGAUUAUACUACAAUUAUUUUUGGUCAGAUGGAAAUAAUAAGAUGGAGAAGGUUAAAGUGGAAUUCUAUGAGCAAGGACAGUUGACUCUACAUUCGGAGGCCCAACCCCGGGGCCACAGACCAGUACUAGUCCAUGGCCUGUCAGGAAGCCGCUGCAAAACAGGAGUUCCUUUCUCAGGGGUAAUAGUUCUACUCCUGAAUCUCAACCCGGUGUCUCGGUCCCUGGAACCCUCCAAUGGAUGUCUCCAUUGGCCUUUGAUGAGAACAUCAUCCACUCCUGAGAUUUCCUGUUGUCCUGCUCUGUGAACCCCGGGCCUCUUGAAUGUUGUUGGCCAUCCAUAGACCUUCUGUCUGCUGGACUACACGCCCCUCCGGGUCCCUCUGAAUGGUGUUCUGACCCCUCUGG